rnacentral:rRNA from 1 species
AUUGAACGCUGGCGGCAUGCCUUACACAUGCAAGUCGAACGGCAGCACGGGAGCAAUCCUGGUGGCGAGUGGCGAACGGGUGAGUAAUAUAUCGGAACGUGCCCAGUCGUGGGGAUAACGUAGCGAAAGCUACGCUAAUACCGCAUACGAUCUAUGGAUGAAAGCGGGGGAUCGCAAGACCUCGCGCGAUUGGAGCGGCCGAUAUCAGAUUAGGUAGUUGGUGAGGUAAAGGCUCGCCAAGCCGACGAUCUGUAGCUGGUCUGAGAGGACGACCAGCCACACUGGGACUGAGACACGGCCCAGACUCCACGGGAGGCAGCAGUGGGGAAUUUUGGACAAUGGGCGCAAGCCUGAUCCAGCAAUGCCGCGUGCAGGAUGAAGGCCUUGG